GGGUUUGUUAACAGGUAUGCCUAUUUUUCAGUUGGUAGGUUUUAACAAUGUGUACCGCGGAUUAUAGUAGACAAAAAUACCCUCAUUUAUCAUGGAUUCUAAGUUUUAAGGUCAACGAUAUUUAAAUAAUUUUCAUUCUCAAAACUAAAAAAAAAAAAAGAAACCCCCCAAACCCUUACUCACCUCCCUCAUUCCUCUCAAGUCUUUCUCUUUCAUCUCUCUCACUCAAACAUUUUCUCUGUCAUCUCUCUCACUCCAACAUUUACUCUGUCAUUCCUACUGUUGCCCCUAUUAAAAAAAAAAUCAGAAACCCUUUGUCAUCAAAGAUAUUUUCUCUCUCAUCUCAACAUUUUCUCCGUCAUCACUCCAAAAUUUUUUUCCUCAUCUCAACCCAAUUGAAAAUGGUGGUAGUAAUUUGAAUCAGAGAUAUUUUUUAAAAAUUGAAAAAGUUUACUCUUUUAUAAUCAUUUUAUAUUUAUUAAUGUGUAUAAAAUGAAUAUAAACUUU
rnacentral:lncRNA from 1 species